GAAAUGAAUGCAUGUUUUUCAAGUAAUUGUUAGCGUUGCUUUUAGAAGUAACAUCAUGCAUAUGUGAUUUGAAAAUAAGUCCCAUCAUACUGUAAAUAAACCUUUGACCAUUGUAACUCACUGAUUUUCUAUUUGAAAAAAAUAAAUAAUAUCACUUGUGUCGAGGAAUACAUGCAACUACUUUUAUGAAUGAGAUACACAAUAAGUUCUGAGCUUUCCGUAUGUGAGAUAAAUUAGAUAAAUAAUAUGUUCAAUUUAAAAUAUCUUGCUAU
rnacentral:lncRNA from 1 species